rnacentral:rRNA from 1 species
GACGAACGCUGGCGGCGUGCUUAACACAUGCAAGUCGAACGGAAAGGCGCUGCUUGUGUGGGGUGCUCGCGUGGCGAGGGGGUGAGUAACACGGGAGUAACCUGCCCUGGACGGUGGGAUAACUUCAGGAAACUGGGGCUAAUACCGGAUAGGAGCUCCUGAUGCAUGGUGGGGGUUGGAAAGUUUAGGCGGAGGGGGAUGGAUUCUGGGCUUACCAGCUUGUGGGGUGGGGAGUCGCUUACCAAGGCAUUGGCGGGUGGCCGGCCCGGGAGCGGGACCAGCGACAUUGGGCCUGCGGGACGGACCAGACUGCUACGGUAGGCAGCAGGGGGAAGUCUUGCACAAUGGGCCGAAGCGUGAUGCAGAAACGCUCCGUGCGGGAUGACGGCCUUCGGGUGGUAAACCGCUUUCGGCUGUGACGAAGCUUGAUUGACGGUACUGGGUAAAGAAGCACCGGCUAACUACGUG